GGUCGGAUAGCUCAGUUGGUUAGAGCAUCUGAAAUAUAACCAGAAGGUCCUGGGUUCAAUCCCCAGUCUGGUCA
rnacentral:tRNA from 1 species